rnacentral:lncRNA from 1 species
UUCUCUCCAAGAACCUCGAUUCAAUCCCUCCGUUUCUUGGUGGAAGCUGCUCGUGCUCAAAAUGCUCAGACGGGAGCAAUGUGGAGGGUAUAUCUGAUGAAGUCACGUUGGCAGAACCAACACCUGAUCGUGUGGACAGAUCUGAUGAGGUCUCUCAGACAGAACCAACACCUGAUCAUGUGAAUAAAUCUGAUGAGGUCACUUGGACAGAACCAGCACCUGAUCAUGUGAACAAAAGCCCCGAGCUUGAUCAUAAUAAUGGCUCCAACACAAAUGGCAACAGGGAAGAGCUGAU